rnacentral:tRNA from 1 species
GCCUUCGUGGUGUAGUGGUCACCACGGUGGGCGCGUAUUCCAGAGGUCCGUGGUUCGAGUCCCGGCGAAGGCG